rnacentral:rRNA from 1 species
GAAGAUGCGAGCGUUAUCCGGAUUUAUUGGGUUUAAAGGGAGCGUAGGCGGGCUGUUAAGUCAGCGGUAAAAUGUCAAGGCCCAACCUUGUCUUGCCGUUGAAACUGGCGGUCUUGAAUGCACACAAGGGGGAUGGAAUUCGUCGUGUAGCGGUGAAAUGCUUAGAUAUGACGAAGAACUCCGAUUGCGAAGGCAGUUCCCUGGAGUGCGAUUGACGCUGAGGCUCGAAAGUGCGGGUAUCAAAC